rnacentral:rRNA from 1 species
ACGGGUGAGUAAUGCAUCGGAACGUGCCCAGUAGUGGGGGAUAGCCCGGCGAAAGCCGGAUUAAUACCGCAUACGACCUACGGGUGAAAGGGGGGGAUCGCAAGACCUCUCGCUAUUGGAGCGGCCGAUGUCAGAUUAGGUAGUUGGUGGGGUAAAGGCCUACCAAGCCGACGAUCUGUAGCUGGUCUGAGAGGACGACCAGCCACACUGGGACUGAGACACGGCCCAGACUCCUACGGGAGGCAGCAGUGGGGAAUUUUGGACAAUGGGCGCAAGCCUGAUCCAGCCAUGCCGCGUGCGGGAAGAAGGCCUUCGGGUUGUAAACCGCUUUUGUCAGGGAAGAAAUCUUCUGAAUUAAUACCUCGGGAGGAUGACGGUACCUGAAGAAUAAGCACCGGCUAACUACGUGCCAGCAGCCGCGGUAAUACGUAGGGUGCAAGCGUUAAUCGGAAUUACUGGACGUAAAGCGUGCGCAGGCGGUUGUGCAAGACAGGUGUGAAAUCCCCGGGCUUAACCUGGGAACUGCACUUGUGACUGCACAGCUAGAGUACGGCAGAGGGGGAUGGAAUUCCGCGUGUAGCAGUGA